rnacentral:rRNA from 1 species
GAUGAACGCUAGCGGCAGGCCUAAUACAUGCAAGUCGAACGGUGUCUUCGGACAUAGUGGCGCACGGGUGCGUAACACGUAUGCAACCUACCUUACAUUGGGGGAUAGCCUUUCGAAAGGGAGAUUAAUACCGCAUAAGACAGUAGCUGGGCAUCCAGCAGCUGUUAAAGAUUUAUCGAUGUAAGCUGGGCAUGCGUCCAAUUAGCUAGUUGGUGAGGUAACGGCUAACCAAGGCAAUGAUUGGUAGGGGAACUGAGAGGUCAAUCCCCCACACUGGCACUGGGAUACAGGCCAGACUACUACGGGAGUGAACAGUAGGGAAUAUUGGGCAAUGGACGCAAGUCUGACCCAGCCCUGCCGCGUGCAGGAUGAAGGCGUUAUGCGUUGUAAACUGCUUUUAUACCGGAAGAAACGACUCUUGCGAGAGGCAUUGACGGUACUGUAUGAAUAAGCACCGGCUAACUCCGUGCCAGCCGCCGCCGUAAAAC